UGAAAAAACCUAAACACCUUCAGUUGAAUUCGAGAGGCUUAGAGGAGGAGAAGGAGACAAGGCAACAGAGAGUACAUAUGGGGAAGAAGCAAUGAGAGAGAGGGAAAGCUUUGAUUUUGAGGAAUGAUGCAGCGAAUGAAAUCAGAGAUGAUGUCAAUUACCGCCACCGAUGCUUCUCUCUCGCUGUAUUUCUUUUUCAGUCUCAGAUUUUAAACACAAGAAAAUUUUAGAUUUUCAGUAGAUUGGAUGAUUUGUGAUUUUGAGUCUCUCAAUUUCCAAACCGAAUGCAAGUGUUAUCUAUCGUUGAUGGUUUUGCGGAGAUAAAUGAAAGCUUAGCCGAGAUGGGGUUUUACUACAUCCAACAUCACAUCCAAAAUGCAGCACCAAAUGUUCUUAAUCUCAACAUCAACAUUUUGGAGAAAUCCCGUGAAACAUGCUUGCAUAACGAAGACUUGAAAGAUUCUAUAGCCAUGGUGAAAUCAAUGGAAGA